rnacentral:lncRNA from 1 species
AAAUUAUUUUUAAUGAUGUGCAUGUGUCUGUUUAUAGGAACGUGCACAUGAAUGCAGUUGCCUGUUGAAGGCAGAAGAGUGUGUCAGAUCUCGGAAGCUGGAGUUGUAGGCACGGGUGCUGAAAAAUGAACGCAGGUUAGCACUCAUGUAUCCCAGGCUGGCCUCACACUCUCUAAGAAGCAGACAGACAGUGAUGACCUUGAACUCCUGACUUCAUAACUGCUGAGACUACAGCUGUGCCCACCAUGCCCAGCUUUGACCCUUUUUUGAGCUUUAUAUUU